rnacentral:tRNA from 1 species
GACGGGUGGCUGAGUCUGGUUAAAGGCGCCCACUUGAAAUGGGCUAAUGCUUAUCGCAUUCCAGGGUUCAAAUCCCUGUCCGUCCG